GUUGGGUAGGGGAGCGUUCUGUAAGCCUGCGAAGGUGGCCUGUGAGGGUUGCUGGAGGUAUCAGAAGUGCGAAUGCUGACAUAAGUAACGAUAAAGCGGGUGAAAAGCCCGCUCGCCGGAAGACCAAGGGUUCCUGUCCAACGUUAAUCGGGGCAGGGUGAGUCGACCCCUAAGGCGAGGCCGAAAGGCGUAGUCGAUGGGAAACGGGUUAAUAUUCCCGUACUUGGUGUUACUGCGAAGGGGGGACGGAGAAGGCUAUGUUGGCCGGGCGACGGUUGUCCCGGUUUAAGCGUGUAGGUGUGUGUUCCAGGUAAAUCCGGUUCACUUUAACACUGAGGCGUGAUGACGAGGCACUACGGUGCUGAAGCAACAAAUGCCCUGCUUCCAGGAAAAGCCUCUAAGCAUCAGGUAACAUCAAAUCGUACCCCAAACCGACACAGGUGGUCAGGUAGAGAAUACCAAGGCGCUUGAGAGAACUCGGGUGAAGGAACUAGGCAAAAUGGUGCCGUAACUUCGGGAGAAGGCACGCUGACACGUAGGUGAAGUGAUUUACUCACGGAGCUGAAGUCAGUCGAAGAUACCAGCUGGCUGCAACUGUUUAUUAAAAACACAGCACUGUGCAAACACGAAAGUGGACGUAUACGGUGUGACGCCUGCCCGGUGCCGGAAGGUUAAUUGAUGGGGUCAGCGCAAGCGAAGCUCCUGAUCGAAGCCCCGGUAAACGGCGGCCGUAACUAUAACGGUCCUAAGGUAGCGAAAUUCCUUGUCGGGUAAGUUCCGACCUGCACGAAUGGCGUAAUGAUGGCCAGGCUGUCUCCACCCGAGACUCAGUGAAAUUGAACUCGCUGUGAAGAUGCAGUGUACCCGCGGCAAGACGGAAAGACCCCGUGAACCUUUACUAUAGCUUGACACUGAACAUUGAGCCUUGAUGUGUAGGAUAGGUGGGAGGCUUUGAAGUGUGGACGCCAGUCUGCAUGGAGCCGACCUUGAAAUACCACCCUUUAAUGUUUGAUGUUCUAACGUGGACCCGUGAUCCGGGUUGCGGACAGUGUCUGGUGGGUAGUUUGACUGGGGCGGUCUCCUCCUAAAGAGUAACGGAGGAGCACGAAGGUUGGCUAAUCCUGGUCGGACAUCAGGAGGUUAGUGCAAUGGCAUAAGCCAGCUUGACUGCGAGCGUGACGGCGCGAGCAGGUGCGAAAGCAGGUCAUAGUGAUCCGGUGGUUCUGAAUGGAAGGGCCAUCGCUCAACGGAUAAAAGGUACUCCGGGGAUAACAGGCUGAUACCGCCCAAGAGUUCAUAUCGACGGCGGUGUUUGGCACCUCGAUGUCGGCUCAUCACAUCCUGGGGCUGAAGUAGGUCCCAAGGGUAUGGCUGUUCGCCAUUUAAAGUGGUACGCGAGCUGGGUUUAGAACGUCGUGAGACAGUUCGGUCCCUAUCUGCCGUGGGCGCUGGAGAACUGAGGGGGGCUGCUCCUAGUACGAGAGGACCGGAGUGGACGCAUCACUGGUGUUCGGGUUGUCAUGCCAAUGGCACUGCCCGGUAGCUAAAUGCGGAAGAGAUAAGUGCUGAAAGCAUCUAAGCACGAAACUUGCCCCGAGAUGAGUUCU
rnacentral:rRNA from 1 species